rfam:Rattus norvegicus chromosome 9, whole genome shotgun sequence.
GGGGAUUCAGCUCAGUGGUAGAGCGCUUGCCUAGCAAGCACAAGGCCCUGGGUUCGGUCCCCAGCUCCG